GUGAGUUAGUGACGUGUAUUUGUAGUGAGUUAGUGACGUGUUUCACUAACUCACUACAAAUACACGUCACUAACUCACUACAAAUACACGUCACUAACUC
rnacentral:pre_miRNA from 1 species